UGACCCCUGUCCGCCGUGAAGCUCCAAGUUCCACUUGGAGUACGCUCACAGCAUAGCGGCGACGGGGGUCA
rnacentral:sRNA from 12 species